UAACCUGGUUGAUCCUGCCAGUGGUUGAAUGCUUCGUCUAAGAACUAAGCCAUGCAUGUCCAAGCACACAUGGCUCUCUGACAGUGAAUCUGUGAAUGGCUCCSSMAWUUCAGCAGUCUUCUAUGUGAUAGUGCGCUCCGGUGGCUCCUUGAGAUGAGCUCGCUUGGAUAUCCCCCAAAACCUAGUGGCUAAUACACGCCUGUCCCAGUCUGCCACGCCCAAUGGCCGUGAUAGUGCUCCUUGUGGUGCGCUGUCACCAGGCCUGUGGUGGAUUGCUACAGACACAGAAGAAGACCUGCGCCUUUGAUCACAUCUGGCAGUGAGACCAUGGCUGACUCAUGUCUGUCCAGGGUGCUCUCCGGCUUUACAUGGACAUGCGCUCUGGCAGUAUGUGUUGGCCACUCGGUCAUCACAAGCAAGAUGCUGCUUGAUCACUCGAGCUUCUGACCUAUUAGCUUGACUGUGGUGCAAUGGACCACAGUGGCUGUGAUGGGUGACAGAGAAUCAGGGUUCGAUUCUGGAGAGGGAGCCUGAGAAAUGGCUACCACUACUAAGGUGGGCAGCAGGCGUGCAACUUGCCCAAUUCAAAGGCUUCUGUGAGGCAGCAACAGAUUAUAUCAAUCCCACCUGCCCCUGUGGCAAGUGGGACUUGGAAUGGAUGGUAUCCAAACAACCCGUUGAGUAUCUACUGGAGGGCAAGUCUGGUGCCAGCAGCCGCGGUAACUCCAGCUCCAGAGGCAUGCACUGACAUUGCUGCUGUUAAAAAACCUGUAGUUGACUGAUGGUUGCAGGUCUGCCUGUGGCCAGCACAGAGGUGAUCGCUGCGGUGUGUGGUGGCUCCAAAUGACUGGCCACACCCAGCCCUUCUCUCUGCGUUGGAACUCAACCACUGGUGGUACAUCCCUGCAUCCGGUUCAUUCGGUGCUAUGUUCCUGCUUGAAGCCCCCUUCAGUGGGGGCAGCUGUGAUUUCCCAUGCAACCCAUGUGUGCUCGACGCGAAUGGGACUCGGCCUCUGUGCCCUGUCACUCCCAUGUCCAUCACUGGAACUCACCGAUGUGACACUAUGGAAAACUCAGUGCGCUCAACGCAUCCACUUCUGGCUGGAUGCUCGUCCAUGGAAUGUCUCGGAUCGAUCUCAUGUUGGCUCUGCUUGUGCUGGCCUUCGUGCCCAUGCAGUGUAAACCCGUUUGCUAUUCCCCUGCUGUGGUCUGCUGUCUUGGCUCGGUGAUUAGGUGGGCUUCCUUCGGGUUGCUUGCCUUCCACCGUUGCCCUGAUGGUCUGGCUGCUGUGGGUGUGCUCAGUGAAAGCUACGGCCUCGAUGGGAUGGCUCAUGGUGGAGGAUAUUGCAGUGCCAGAGGUGAAAUUCUUAGAUCACUGCAGGAUCAACUGCAGCGAUGGCACUCUGCAAGUGCGCAUUCGUUCAAUCAAGGAUGAGAGUGUGGGGAGCAAAGACGAUCAGACACCAUUGUAGUCCACACUGUAAACGGUGCCAACUUGGUCCUGGCAGCGAGCAUCGAUGGACGCUGCCAGCGCCUUGCCCCCUUCAGUGAGUAAUCCACAAGUCUGUGGGUUCAGGGGGAAGUACCGCUGCAAGGCUGAAACUUAAAGGAAUUGACGGAAUGGCACCACCAGGUGUGGAUUAUGCGGCUCAAUUUGACUCAACGCGGGGAAGCUUACCAGGUCAGGACAUGGCUGGGAUGGACAGAUUGAGCGCUCUUUCCUGAUCCCAUGGCAGGUGGUGCAUGGCCGCUCCUGAUUGGUGGAGUGAUUUGUCUACUUGAUUGUGAUAACGAGUGAGAUCUCUGCCUUCCAGUAGCCUCCGCUUUGCAUUUGGUAGAGUUGGCUGCGGUGUGUCCCUGCAGUUGGCCUCGGUUGGCUGCUUGGGCUGCCACACGCUGCUCGAAAAGCUGGAGUUCAGCUUCUCUGAGGUGCUAUGCACGUCUCUUGAAGUGCAUGUAUGCUAGAGGCAACAGCAGGUCUGUGAUGCUCCCAGAUGUCCUGGGCCGCACGCGCAAGACAUUGACCCGGUGAAUAAGUCCAAUCCUCACUUGCUGAGGCCUGCCCUGACAUGGGUUCUCCAAGGAAACCCAAGGUGCCCGUGAGUCGUCUCUGGGAUAGUUGAUUGCAACUGUCCGCCUUGAACUUGGAAUACCUAGUAUGUGCGUGUCAUCAGCACGCCCAGAUUAUGUCCCUGCCAUUUGUACACACCGCCUGUCGUUGCAACUGACGGUACAGUGAUAAAGCCCUCUGGAAGGCUCCGCUGGCCUCGCACAAGCCACUCCUUAAAUCGGCCUGCCUGUCCUGGCCUUUUCUCGGGGGCUGAAUCUGGGCAAUGUCCCUGUACUGGAAGAUGCAAAAGUCAUAACAAGGA
rnacentral:rRNA from 1 species